UUCACUUUUAGUGGGAUCGUGUUUGUUUGAAAGUGCCUGAGGAGGAGGAAGCUGCUCCCAAAAAGAUAGGCAAGAAUCCUUGAAUAAAGUACUAGAAAAGAGUGGAAGCAGGGAAAGUUUACGUUAUUCCAUGCAGAAGAAACAGGCUCACAACAACAAUGGCAUCUCCUCCAAGAAGAGGUACAUCAUGAGGACGACUCUGUGCAAGAUACUUUGGAGUUGAUUGCAUUUAGUACUUCGCGUCUUACCCAUGACACAGCGUUGCUGUGACCAAGUGAGCUAUCUCCCCAUAAAGUUUCACAGUGGAUUGGGAAAACAAAUUUUUGAAAAGCCUUGGAUAUAAAGUUGGUACCCCGCCUUCUUGGGAGAACCUAAAUGAUCCCAUAGCAAUAUUCAAAGCAGAACUGUGAAGUGUUGCAAACAAAAUCUGUCCUUCAGACAGAAAUAAAACCAUUGUCUGAUCAUCAUCGCUUUGCUGUUCAUGUAAUCCUACAAUGUCUUAAAUGACUGAUAUUUCCUUCAUGUCAUCAGUGACUACUGCGAUAUAAGUUGUAUAAUAACUGCAUUUUUAAGACCUUCAUUACUUUUAUCAUUUUUAGUUUGGAGCUGUUAACUGAGAGCUGAAGGUGACAUUAAGUAAACAGCUUUUUUUUUAAAAAAGAGAAUAAAUGAACUGCUAUUUAGGCCUGGAAGCUAAUUACAAGAAGCUGUUUGUAUGCAUGUUUUCAGGAAACUAAGUAAACUUCAAUCCCAUAUGCCUGAGAGAUUAUGGAUCAUGGAGUCUGUUUAAGUGAACUGGUAAGAAGCAGAUUGAAAUCCAUCUGAAAUCCAUCAGUUUUGGGAAUUUUCUUUUAAGUAGGUCAGAAAAUCAUUUGGACAGUGAUCUUAGUGCAUCAGUUCCAAGAAGACCUGUGAUUGCAGUUAAGAGCCUGGAGACCCCCUGUGGUGUGAAUGGAUAAAAUUUCUGUAUCAAUGGACAAGGAAACAGCCAACACUUCAAAAGGGAAAUGAAUGUUCUAUACUUGGUCUUUUCGAUACACUGUUUAAUCUGCUUUGAAGCAUCAAAACCGUUUUGUCUGUUAGGACCGAACAUUAAAAUGGGAUAGAAGAGUUGUCUGCCAAAAACAUCCUCUUUAUUUUGCCGAGAAAUAUAUUAUCUCAACACCUUCCCGAGGUGGCUCAUCAAAUUAUGACAAUACCAGCUUAGUCUUCUCAUUUUCCUUGGCAGAUCUGUCAAACAAAAUGCAUGGUAUAGAUUAAAUUUGAAAUAUC